CCGACAACGUGGACACCUGCGGCUUAUAGACACGUACGGCCUAUAUAUAUAUGUAGGUGCGCUCAAUAGUCUGGAAAUUACGGUAAUUGUUCAGUGAGCUGCAUUUGACGCCAACUUAUCCCAGUGGCCGCCGGCGGUACUGCAGUGACAACAGUCCCACCACUGGGAGAAACACCAAUGAGCACGUGCAGUGGGUCACACAAUACGAAAGCUAGAAGACCUUUUAUUUUGAUGUCACUUUAAAAAUGUCUUCUUCUUAAAAUUAGGCACAAACGUCCACUCGAACUCAAAGAUGAACUUAUUAGAUUUUGGGAGAGACAAAGACCGAGGUCACUGCCAUCAAGCAGAACAAGUGACAAAAUGACUUAGAUGGUCAUUAGACAUAAAAAGGCUUUUUUUAAAACCCACAAUCUUUGUUUUAUUGAAUCAAUAGAUUUUUUUUAUACGUGUAUAAAACUGCUUCGACUCUGUGUGUGUCUACGUCACAGCGUCUUCACUGCCUUUUUGUCACCUGUCCUCACCAUGUGGGCUGCGUGUUGUUCUUAAGUUUGGCAGCACAUCUGGGUGUAAACAUCCUGCCAUCAGUUUACUGGAAACCCACUGCAAGAAAAGAAAGAAACCGGUUGGUCCUCAAUAGAGAGAUUUUCUGUUUCCAAAUUUCAACACACCUCGGCUGAUCAGAACCUUUUUUGGCUUAAGAUCUUGGCGAAUUCACGUGACCUGAAGUCAUGUCGAGAGUCCAGCAUCCUGUAAUGGUGAGAAUCUGAGUAAGAAAGAAAAAAAUCUGUUUUUAGGACCUUAAUCUUCCUAAAAAUGAAAUUCUAAAAGGCCAGAAGGAAGCAAGCGAGAAAAUUCAUCGCAACAACAUAUCAAAGUUAAGUUGUUUUAAUGAAUAAUAUAAUUUUUCCUAUGACUGAUGUUACAUGCUAAUUAGACUGUUAUUGCAGACGGAUUAAUGUGUUAAAAGGGUUUUAACUACUAUAUACCCUGUUUAAAGGGUUCAUCCAGUGGUUCUAAACAUAAGGUUUGGGUCACUCUGAUGAUUAUUAGUAAAGGAAAGAAGAGAAGUUCUGCUACAAAAAAAUCUGUUCUUUUUUCCCUUUCUCGAAUCAAAAACUUUGUUUUUUUUGUCAAAAAAUAAGUAAUUUCCCCCUUUGUGCCUCCAACAGUGAUUUAAACGAAGUUCACAAAGUUCAGAGGAGUCAUGAUAAGCCGUAGCCUAGAGGUUGGAGAAGCGGCCUGUGAUCCGAAGGUAAAUGUAACUGAGUAAAAUGACAACAUGCUGACCUCAGUUCACUGGAAAGCUGCUGUAGGAAAAAACAAAACAAAGAAACUGGUUUGUCUUCAUUGUACAGAUUGUAUGCUUUUAUUUUGAAAUCCCACCACUCCUUGGUCGAGUGAACACCCAUGAUUCUAUCACACUGAUGUGAUCAGGUUUUCAGAUAAGGCUUUCUAUGAAGACCACACCCACUGCUGACAUUCACAAUACUGUCUGAUGUGUCAUAAAACAUUAUACAUGUGACUUUUAAUGAAUUAUGCUCUUCACUAGUUAGAAAAUAGAGGUUGACUUACAGGUCUUAUAAUGCAUUAUGACUACCGACACUUGCCUCAACAAACAGCUGUAACAGUCCAUGUUACGUUACUGAUCAAUACGGGAGUGUAAGCGACAUAAUUUACCAUCAAAACCACAAGUACUCGCAAUGUCAGCGAAUCAGCAUGUGUUCAUAUGUAAACACAGCAAAAUGUUGUCGCUGCUUAAGGUGGAGCUGAUUGUCAAUACUUUGUGUGCUUUGCUAUGUUUAACAGCUGAUCACAUUUUAUAACCCGGUCGCAUGUUUUGUACGUGAAAUUCUAAUUUGAAAAGAAACCAGACUGUGUUUGUGUAAAUGUACUGAGUUACUUAUUUGCUAACUAAAUCCCACGAAAUGAGCAACACCAAAGCCUGCGUCAUCAAAAUAUAUUCUAAACCCUCCGGGCUUUAUAGGGCCUGGUUACUGUCCAAAAAGGCAUUAAAAACACUUGACUGCUGUGUUGGCACUGCAGUUCAUGUCAAGCUGGUCCCACGUACGUCGCCAUGCAAGCUUUUCCAGAUUCUUCAGCCGCUGAAGGAAAAGAAUGUCAAAACAGAUGAUGAGGUACUGCAAGGUGAAGAAAAGGUUUGUCUGCUUUUUUCUUUCGGUUUCACUUGCAUUGUCAGCACAGGAAGUGUGUGUGUGUGUGUGUGUGUGUGUCUUUGGGGGGGGGGGGGACUUAUCUUACAGGUUUGCAGUAUAUAUAAGAGGGAGCUUAGACUCACUUGUACAUUUUGCUCCCCUGACGAGGUGUUUUUAAAGAUGGCAAGUAACUCAAACCAGAUCAGCACAAAUCAGAGAAAGGUAAGACUGGUCCAGGCCGCGUACCAAGAGAGGACUUAUUCCGUUGGCGGCUGGGACAUCACACAACAGAAAUCUGCAAGAGUGUAUCAAGGGGCCCUCGCCAAUGAAGAUUACAUACUGGUGGGCCGAGCCGGGUUCUGCGAGACCUCUAUCACUUUUCAAAGCUCAACUCGAAAAUUCACAGCGGAAGCAAAAGAUACCAACCUUCAAGUGCUGCUGAUUAAUAAAAAGCAGCCACACAAGAGUGUUGUGUACCGAAGUUAACUGACAGCGGGUGACUGUGAUAACUCCAGACGGACUGCGUGCUUCAGCUCUGUGCGCGGAAUAAAUCUAAUAGUUACAAGACGAGUCGGUUCACCAAGAAUGGUGAAACAGUCACGCUUCCGUUUUCCUCUCAGACUGACACUGUUGUGGGACGUUCAGGGCCCGAUCGAUGAUACGGAAGGAAUGUCUGAAGUCUCAGACUGAGCUGCACAGAAUCUUUGUGAUGUUUGACAACCAAGUACGCCAUGAACCGAAACAUUAAACUGUUGAUCUGCUGUGUGUUAAGUGAUUAUGUUAUGUAACCGCAUUUCAAUCUGGUGGUGGUUUAUUAUUGAUAACAUGAAACUUUGAUGAUGCGAGCCUCAGUGUUAUUAUUAUGGGUUGUAAUCAGCGGGUCAUUCACCUUUGAUUAUUAUUAUUAUUAUGACUGGAACACGUCAAUGAAGAGCUGAUCCUUCUAACUACUGUUAAUGCUCCUUAUCUGCCGCCUCUUGUUGUCAUGCAGUCCAGUGCACGUGUGUUAGGAGGAAUUAUCGCGAGCAGAUUAGCCAAAUAAACAAAUACAUCCUGUCAUGUGUCUUGUAAUUGAAGCUUCACAAAGAAGAGAUAUUUGUUAAAAUGUGCCUGUUUAUGUUUCUGGCAGAGAGUUGGAUGAGAGGAUGGAUACCACAAUCUUUAAACGGAGAGCCACAGCCAGCAGUUAGCUUAGCUUAGCACAAAGACAGCAUACAGACAAACAGCUAGCUUGCCUCCAUCCCAGCACAAAAAACAUUUGCCUGCCAGCACCUCUAAAGCCCACAGAUUGACACAUUUUAUCUGUAGGCCUACAAAAACAGACGUUUGUCAGUUUGCAAGGGUUUUUUUUGUGCAUUUUCCAAAUUGUUGCAUAAACUUAAGUGUCUAUGUUUCCAGCUUUGUUACAAGGCGUAGCCAACAGGGCCAACAGCCCAGUAUGCAGUGUGUGAGGCCAAUGCAGUAUGAACCAGUGACUUUACAAACUUCAGGACCACAGUGUCUCCUCUGGUUCCCAGUUAUCAGUCUCCUGCCCAGGUCCAGUCUCUUGUCCAGAUAUGGAUGCUUCUGGCAAAAAACCCAAGAUGGUGACGGCCACAAUAAACUGAAAGAUUCAACAUUAGUUAGUCCACAAACCGGUGGGUUGAGGGUGUGAUGGAUUUGCACUUGGGUGCAAUCAAACAGCUGCAAGUGCAAGCCCCUGACUACUUUCUUCAAGAAACUGAUCAUAAUGAAACAGAAUUUCAAUGAAGAGUAUUUUUAGUAAAAAACAAUGCUUGUUCAUAUGAAGAGUCAGUGAAGGUUAAUGAAGCUACUGUCAUUAAGUUUAGAACAGCUCAGUCUAGAAGCAACUGUGAGCCGCUCUUUAAUGACGCUGUGGUAGUUUAUUCACCAAAACAACCUUCAUCCUUUAAGGCUGAAAAACACAUCACCAGUAAAGCACAAAUCUCACUUUAAACUUGUCCAUUGUGGUGUACUUUUGGGUGCCGCUGAUGAAUGACGUGACUGCAGGUCACAAACAGAGACACACGCUGGUUAUUUCGUAUUGCACUUUAUUCAGCUCAAAUCAACGCUUAUUGCUUUCAGGGCUUCCGGUCCACACACACGUCGGACCCAUCUCAAGUAUUCUCACGCUGUAACUUUGCGUACGUGUUUUAAAAAGGUUUACCGUCUGAAUCUGUGUGUGUGUGCGCGUGUGUGUGUGUGUUCAAACCAACGGUGAAGAACACACUGCACUUCCUGUCUUGCUGUAUGUGACGAGUUAAUGCUGACUGAAGGAGGCGACGGGAGAGAUUUGACACCAUAAUGGAGGCAUGAAGUUUCAUUGACAUUAAGGUCAAAAAGUGACAGAGAAUAUCCCGGG